UUCGGGACGCUGGCGAGUGGCGAACGGGUGCGUAACGCGUGGAAACCUGCCCCGAGGUGUGGGACAACAGUUGGAAACGACUGCUAAUACCGCAUAAGCCUUACGAGGGAAAGGCGCAAGUCGCCUUGGGAGGGGUCCGCGUCGGAUUAGCUAGUUGGUGGGGUAAAGGCCUACCAAGGCGAUGAUCCGUAGCUGGUCUGAGAGGAUGAUCAGCCACACUGGGACUGAGACACGGCCCAGACUCCUACGGGAGGCAGCAGUGGGGAAUAUUGCGCAAUGGGAGAAAUCCUGACGCAGCGAUACCGCGUGGGUGAAGAAGGUCUUCGGAUCGUAAAGCCCUUUCAGCAGGAAAGAUGAUGACGGUACCUGCAGAAGAAGCCCCGGCUAACUCCGUGCCAGCAGCCGCGGUAAUACGGAGGGGGCGAGCGUUGUUCGGAAUGACUGGGCGUAAAGGGCGCGUAGGCUGCUCUGCAAG
rnacentral:rRNA from 1 species